GAUGAAGAACGUAGCGAAAUGCGAUAAGUAAUGUGAAUUGCAGAAUUCAGUGAAUCAUCGAAUCUUUGAACGCACAUUGCGCCCGCUAGUAUUCUGGCGGGCAUGCCUGUCCGAGCGUCAUUUCAACCCUCAAGCCCCCGGGCUUGGUGUUGGGGAUCGGCGAGCCUCCGCGCCCGCCGUCCCCUAAAUCUAGUGGCGGUCUCGCUGUAGCUUCCUCUGCGUAGUAGCACACCUCGCACUGGGAAACAGCGCGGCCACGCCGUUAAACCCCCAACUUCUGAACGUUUGACCUCGGAUCAGGUAGGAAUACCCGCUGAACUUAAGCAUAUCAAAAGCGGAGGA
rnacentral:misc_RNA from 1 species